rnacentral:rRNA from 1 species
GACGAACGCUGGCGGCGUGCAUAACACAUGCAAGUCAAGGGGGCCAGCAAUGGCAACCGGCGAACGGGUGCGUAACACGUGAGCAACCUGCCACCGUGUGGGGCAUAGCCGGCCUAACGGCCGGGUAAUUCUGCAUACGAUCACUGAGAGUCAUCUCUCGGUGAUGAAACGAUUUAUCGGCACGGUGAGGGGCUCGCGGCCUAUCAGCUAGUUGGUGAGGGUAACGGCCCACCAAGGCAACGACGGUAGCUGGUCUGAGAGGAUGGCCAGCCACAUUGGGACUGAGAUACGGCCCAGACUCCUACGGGAGCAGCAGUGGGAAUCUGCGCAAUGGCCUAACGGCUGACGCAGCGACGCCGCGUGAGGGAU